UACGAAGGGGGCUAGCGUUGCUCGGAAUCACUGGGCGUAAAGCGCACGUAGGCGGACUCUUAAGUCGGUGGUGAAAUCCUGGAGCUCAACUCCAGAACUGCCUUCGAUACUGAGAGUCUCGAGUCCGAGAGAGGUGAGUGGAACUGCGAGUGUAGAGGUGAAAAUUCGUAGAUAUUCGCAAGAACACCAGUGGCGAAGGCGGCUCACUGGCUCGGUACUGACGCUGAGGUGCGAAAGCGUGGGGAGCAAACAGGG
rnacentral:rRNA from 1 species